GAGCCAGUUUCCUCUCACUGCCACCCUGGACAGGGAAGGGGUCACAGACCACCACUGCCCAGUCUCAUCCACAAAGAUGCAGACAUCUGCCGCUGUCCAAUCACCCAACCAGGGCCAAUCCGGGCAGCGUAACCCCAGCCAAAGCCAAGGCUGGAGCCGCAGCCAGGACCAGAGCCAGAUCCCGGACCAGAGCCAGGAUCAGGGCCAGGGCCAGAGCCAGGAUGGGAGUCAGAACCAGGACCAGAGUCCUACGAUUGUACUCAGAGCUCACAACCAGGCAGCGCAGUUCCAAUCCACUCAAGAUUCUAAGACUGUCCAUCGCUCCCAACCCAGAAGCGUUUCCAGAAAGAGGAAGAGCCCCAGGAAAAGGAAGAGGGGUAUGGCCAAGAAGAGGAGCCCAGCCCUUGGGAAGAAAAGGCGCACAGUGAGGAGACGCAAAUGAGGGUGCUCGAAAUCUGUUCCCGAAUGGGAUGAUGCCAGGAGAAGAUGCCACAACCAGGAACCUAACACCAUGCAAGUGCCUUCUCCAGUCAGGCUGAGGGAAAAGGGAUAAUAAAGAUCUUGUUGUGAGAUGCA